rnacentral:rRNA from 1 species
CGGGGGAGCAAGCGUUGUUCGGAUUUACUGGGCGUAAAGGGCGCGUAGGCGGCCACCGCAAGUCGACUGUGAAAUCUCUGGGCUUAACCCAGAACGGUCAGCCGAUACUGCGGGGCUAGAGUGCAGAAGGGGGCAACUGGAAUUCUCGGUGUAGCGGUGAAAUGCGUAGAUAUCGAGAGGAACACCUGCGGCGAAGGCGGGUUGCUGGGCUGACACUGACGCUGAGGCGCGAAAGCUAGGGGAGCGAACGGGAUUAGAUACCCCGGUAGUCCUAGCCUUAAACGAUGAAUGCUUGGUGUCUGGGGUUUUAUAGUCCCCGGGUGCCGUCGCUAACGCUUUAAGCAUUCCGCCUGGGGAGUACGGUCGCAAGACUG